rnacentral:rRNA from 1 species
CAUAAGACAUGCAAGUCGUAACGGAAGUCGUUUAGUGAGUUUGAGAUGAAAGAUUUAUCCGGAUUCAAUGAUGAAUCUAAAACAAUGGCUUUAGUGGCGGACUGGUGAGUAACACGUAAGCAACCUGCCUGUUAGAGGGGAAUAACAGCGAGAAAUCGUUGCUAAUACCGCAUAUGCCAUAAGAACCACAUGGUUCUAGUGGGAAAGGAGUAAUCCGCUAACAGAUGGGCUUGCGUCUGAUUAGAUAGUUGGUGGGGUAACGGCCUACCAAGUCGACGAUCAGUAGCCGGACUGAGAGGUUCAACGGCCACAUUGGGACUGAGAUACGGCCCAGACUCCUACGGGAGGCAGCAGUCGGGAAUAUUGCGCAAUGGAGGAAACUCUGACGCAGUGACGCCGCGUAUAGGAAGAAGGUUUUCGGAUUGUAAACUAUUGUCUGCAGGGAAGAAACAAGACUGUACCUGCAAAGAAAGCUCCGGCUAACUACGUG